rnacentral:lncRNA from 1 species
ACUUUAACACCAAUCACUUUAAUUAUCCACUGAGUUCUCUGUUUAUAAUUCAUAUGCUUCAAUUAAUUUCAAUCUCUUCAUUACUUCAAUUUCUUCAACUUCUUGUAUGAACCUCUAUCUCAAAGCUCAUUGCUGCAAGUUGUUGCUGGUUGGCCAGUCAUCAUAACAAACCACACCUAAGCCAAUAAGCACUAAAUGGAAUGGUUGGAGAAUUUUAUAAUACAGCAAGUAAGUAGAGUAGUUCUGAAAAGAACUGGUUAAAGCAGCUUAUGGGCUAGUAACAACAACACAAGAACACUGCAUUAGCAUGCUUUGCUUUAAUAUCAAAUCACAUCUGCAUGAUAGUUGCUGCGUGGCAAGUGCAGUAAAAAAUUGGAAAUAUUAGCAGCCACCAAUACGUCCUGACCUACGUUAUUGCUGUCAGACAUUAAUUAUGCACAUACAUAUAGUUUAUACAAGUGAUAAUGACUAAAUUAAUAAUAAGAAUAAACAUACCUACCCGCCCACCUCUGUAAUAGGAUACUAUGAUUGGAG